GCCCCUGUAGCUCAGCGGCUAGGGCACCAGCUACAUACGCCGGAGGUGGCGGGUUCGAAUCCAGCCCAGGCCCA
rnacentral:tRNA from 1 species